rnacentral:rRNA from 1 species
GACGAACGCUGGCGGCGUGCUUAACACAUGCAAGUCGAACGGAAAGGCCCUGCUUUUGUGGGGUGCUCGAGUGGCGAACGGGUGAGUAACACGUGAGUAACCUGCCCUUGACUUUGGGAUAACUUCAGGAAACUGGGGCUAAUACCGGAUAGGAGCUCCUGCUGCAUGGUGGGGGUUGGAAAGUUUCGGCGGUUGGGGAAGGACUCGCGGCUUAUCAGCUUGUUGGUGGGGUAGUGGUUUACCAAGGCCUUGACGGGUAGCCGGCCUGAGAGGGUGACCGGCCACAGUGUGACUGAGAUACGGCCCAGACUCCUACGUGAGGCAGCAGUGGGGAAUAUUGCACGAUGGGCGGAAGCCUGAUGCAGCAACGCCGCGUGCGGGAUGACGGCCUUCGGGUUGUAAACCGCGUGCGCCUGUGACGAAGCGUGAGUGACGGUAAUGGGUAAAGAAGCACCGGCUAACUACGUG